GAUGAACGCUGGCGGCGUGCUUAACACAUGCAAGUCGAACGGAAAGGCCCAAGCUUGCUUGGGUACUCGAGUGGCGAACGGGUGAGUAACACGUGGGUGAUCUGCCCUGCACUUCGGGAUAAGCCUGGGAAACUGGGUCUAAUACUGGAUAGGACCACUUCUUGGAUGUUGUGGUGGAAAGUUUUUUCGGUGUGGGAUGAGCUCGCGGCCUAUCAGCUUGUUGGUGGGGUAAUGGCCUACCAAGGCGUCGACGGGUAGCCGGCCUGAGAGGGUGUACGGCCACAUGGGGCCUGAGUAACGGCCCAGCCCCGAACGGGAGGCAGCGGUGGGAAGAUUGCACAAGGGGCGCAAGCCGGAUGCAGCGACGCCGCGGGGGGGAUGACGGCCUUCGGGUUGUAAACUCCUUUCGCUAGGGACGAAGCGUUUUGUGACGGUACCUGGAGAAGAAGCACCGGCUAACUACGUG
rnacentral:rRNA from 1 species